rnacentral:lncRNA from 1 species
UCCUGGCGUUUUGGUGCCAAUAACAACAGCACAAGUAACAAACAGUAAUGCUAAAAGCAGCACUCCAGGAAGCUCAUCCAGGCGACCAAGUGCCCAGCCCUCUGAGGCCAGCCCCUCUUGCUCUGCCUGGUCUCAGCAGGAGGAAAAGGCUCAGGGGCUGCCCGCGGGGUCCCCUCCAGACUCUACCCGGGCUCUGAGCUGGACCACCAGGCAAAGGCUCCCGCCCCAGCCCCAGCCCAGAGCGUCUGUCCUACGGCUCCGCGCAGAGAAUAGAGAAAAACGCCUCCCACCACCAUCACCUCCGAAGAGACUAGCCAUAGAAACAUACAGUGCUUGUGCCAACGUUCUGGAAUUUGCCACUGCUGAUCCAUCCAGCUGAAUCUGACCAGCUUGAAUGUAGUCUCCUUGCCAUGGACCAGGUGCUGUGCUGGCUACUGGCGUUGUUUCAAGGAGAUAUACAACCAGCGACUGCUCUCAGGGUGCUUACAAUCCAGGAGCGGGACCCUGAUAUUUAGCACAAUAAAAGAAUCGAAGGCAGAGACUGAUAGAGUUUAUUAAAGGAUCAAAAAUGAAAUUCUGUUUGAGUCUGGAGUAGAGAGAGAUUCUUCUCAGAGGGGAAGGAGAAGUUUCCAUUGAAGAAUGACUCUUGGCCUGGGCUUUGAAGAAUGGACAUUAUUUGGAUAUGAGGAAAAGGGUAUUUAUUUGUCAUUUCGGGUUGAGCGACCUUCCGUGGUGGAAGCUCGCGGCUGGGAAAGCACAGGACGGAUUUGAGGGACUGCUGUGACUGCACUGAAGCCACACGACAUCAGGGAAAGGUGAGACUGAUGAAGGAGGUGGAGGCCGGGGGGGCCCUGGAGAUCCUGCGGACAGAUG